GACGAACGCUGGCGGCGUGCCUAAUACAUGCAAGUCGAGCGGACAGAUGGGAGCUUGCUCCCUGAUGUUAGCGGCGGACGGGUGAGUAACACGUGGGUAACCUGCCUGUAAGACUGGGAUAACUCCGGGAAACCGGGGCUAAUACCGGAUGGUUGUUUGAACCGCAUGGUUCAAACAUAAAAGGUGGCUUCGGCUACCACUUACAGAUGGACCCGCGGCGCAUUAGCUAGUUGGUGAGGUAACGGCUCACCAAGGCAACGAUGCGUAGCCGACCUGAGAGGGUGAUCGGCCACACUGGGACUGAGACACGGCCCAGACUCCUACGGGAGGCAGCAGUAGGGAAUCUUCCGCAAUGGACGAAAGUCUGACGGAGCAACGCCGCGUGAGUGAUGAAGGUUUUCGGAUCGUAAAGCUCUGUUGUUAGGGAAGAACAAGUACCGUUCAAAUAGGGCGGUACCUUGACGGUACCUUAUGAGAAAGCCACGGCUAACUACGUGCCAGCCGCCGCAGUAA
rnacentral:rRNA from 1 species